GAUGAACGCUGGCGGCGUGCCUAAUACAUGCAAGUCGAGCGAACAGAUGAGGAGCUUGCUCCUCUGACGUUAGCGGCGGACGGGUGAGUAACACGUGGAUAACCUACCUAUAAGACUGGGAUAACUUCGGGAAACCGGAGCUAAUACCGGAUAAUAUAUUGAACCGCAUGGUUCAAUAGUGAAAGACGGUUUUGCUGCCACUUAUAGAUGGAUCCGCGCCGCAUUAGCUAGUUGGUAAGGUAACGGCUUACCAAGGCAACGAUGCGUAGCCGACCUGAGAGGGUGAUCGGCCACACUGGAACUGAGACACGGUCCAGACUCCUACGGGAGGCGGCAGUAGGGAAUCUUCUGCAAUGGGCGAAAGCCUGACGGAGCAACGCCGCGUGAGUGAUGAAGGUCUUCGGAUCGUAAAACUCUGUUAUUAGGGAAGAACAAAUGUGUAAGUAACUAUGCACGUCUUGACGGUACCUAAUCAGAAAGCCACGGCUAACUACGUG
rnacentral:rRNA from 1 species